CCUACGGGAGGCUGCAGUGGGGAAUAUUGCACAAUGGGCGCAAGCCUGAUGCAGCCAUGCCGCGUGUGUGAAGAAGGCCUUCGGGUUGUAAAGCACUUUCAGCGGGGAGGAAGGCGUUAAGGUUAAUAACCUUGGCGAUUGACGUUACCCGCAGAAGAAGCACCGGCUAACUCCGUGCCAGCAGCCGCGGUAAUACGGAGGGUGCAAGCGUUAAUCGGAAUUACUGGGCGUAAAGCGCACGCAGGCGGUCUGUCAAGUCGGAUGUGAAAUCCCCGGGCUCAACCUGGGAACUGCAUUCGGAACUGGCAGGCUAGAGUCUUGUAGAGGGGGGUAGAAUUCCAGGUGUAGCGGUGAAAUGCGUAGAGAUCUGGAGGAAUACCGGUGGCGAAGGCGGCCCCCUGGACAAAGACUGACGCUCGGGUGCGAAAGCGUGGGGAGCAAACAGGAUUAGAUACCCCAGUAGUC
rnacentral:rRNA from 1 species